rnacentral:rRNA from 1 species
UGGGGAAUAUUGGGCAAUGGGGGAAACCCUGACCCAGCGACGCCGCGUGAGGGAAGAAGGCCUUAGGGUCGUAAACCUCUGUUGUGUGGGAAGAAGAGCGUGACGGUACCACACGAGGAAGUCCCGGCUAACUACGUGCCAGCAGCCGCGGUAAUACGUAGGGGACGAGCGUUGUCCGGAUUUACUGGGCGUAAAGGGCGCGUAGGCGGUCCUUUAAGUCAGAUGUGAAAUGGUUUGGCGUAACCGGAUCAGGCGGUUGAAACUGGAGGACUGGAG